rnacentral:lncRNA from 1 species
GAGACAGGGUCUCGCUUUGUCUGGAGUCCAGGCUGGAGUGCAGUGGCGCGGUCAAGGCUGUGGUGAGCUGUCAUCAAGCCAUUGCACUCCAACCUGGGUGAUAGAGCAAGACUCAAAAAAAUAAAGUAAAAAAGAAGUGAGACGAUUUAAGGCAAAACAUACCUGUAUCUUCUAUGAUGUGUUUAUGAUCCAGCUGUUUUCUUAUGGACAUCUGGAAGCUGUCACCUCAAUAUCAUGCUGUGCAAUGGCACGGUCUCAGCUCACUGCAACCUCCGCCUCUCAGGUUCAAACAAUUCUCCUGCCUCAGCCACCCGAGUAGCUGGGCUUACAGACGCACACCAACAUGCCCAGCUAAUUUUUGUAUUUUUGUAGAGAUGGGGUUUCACCAUGUUGGCCAGGCUGGUCUUGAACUCCUGACCUCUGGUGAUCGCCUGCCUCGGCCUCCCAAAGUGCUGGGAUUACAGGCAUGAGCCACCGCGCCUGGCCCUAUUAACCAUUUUUAAGUCUACAAGUCGGUGACAUUUAGCACAUUUACAAUGUUGUGUGUCCUCCACCUCUCUAGUUCAAAACUUUUUUGCACCACAGAGGAAUGCGUCGUUAACAGAUCACUGCCUGUUGCUCUCUCUCCUGUCCCUUGGUGACUUGAAUCUACCUUCUGUCUCUGUGGGUUCUCCUUUCCUGGAUAUUUCAUAUGUGUGGAAUCAUAUAACAUGUGGCCCUUCGUGUCUGGCUUCUUUCCGCAAGCAUGCAUUUGUGAUUCAUCUGAGUUGUAUUAUGGAUUAGUAUUUCAUUCCUUUGUAUGGCUCAGUCAUGUUCCAUUGUUUAUGUAGACCACAUUCUUCAUCCGUUCAUCUGCUGAUGGACGUGUGGGUUGUUCCCAUCGUCUUGGUGCUUAGGAAUAGUGCCACUGUGGACAUUGUGUGUAAUUCUAGGGGGACAUGUUUUCAUUUCUCUUGGAUGUAUACCUAGAAGUGAGCUGGCAGGGUCAUCAGGUCACUGCUUAACUUAUGUGAAACACCAUCUUUUUUUUGUGGCUGCACCAUUUUAAUUCUCACCAGUGAUGGACAAGCUUUCCAGUUUGUUCACAUCCUUGCCAACACUUUUAUUUUUUAAUACCCAUAAUAGUGUGAAAUGGUAUCUCAUUGUGGCUUUGAUUUUCAUUUUCUUAAUGACCAGUGAUGUUGAAUAUUUGUUCAUGUGCUUGUUGGGCCAUUUGUAUAUGUUUGGAGAAAUAUCAGUUCAUGUCCAUUGCUUUUUUUAAAUUGGGUUGUUUGGUUUUUGUUGUUGUUCUUUAUAUAUACACAUGCACAGUAUACAGUGUGUGCGUGUGUUGGGGUGUGUGUGUAUAUUCUGGAUACUGGACUCUGAGCAGAUGUAUGAUUUGCAAAUGUUUUCUCCCAUUUUGUAGGUUCUUUUUAGUUUCUUGAUAGUGUCCUUUGAAGCACAGGAUCAGACGUUUUUAAUUCUGAUGAAGUCCAGUUUCUUUUUUCUUUUCAAGACACUAUCUCCCUCUGUCACCCAGGCUGGAGUGCAGUGGCACAAUCACAGCUCACUGCAGCCUCAACCUCCCAAGCUGAAGUGAUCCUCCCAACCUCAGCCUCCUGAGUGGCUGGGACCACAGGUACGCGCCACCACGCUUGGCUGAUUUUUUGUACUUUGUGUAGAGAUGGGGUUUUACCAUGUUUCCAAGGCUUAUCUUGAACUCUGGGCUCAAGUGAUCCUCCCAUCUCUGCCUCCCAAAGUGCUGGGAUUCCAGGUGUGAGCUGCUGCUGCCCAGCCUGGUUUUAUUUUUUCUUUUGUUGCUGAUGGUUUUGUGUCAGAUCUAAGAAUCCCUUACCAAAUCCGAGGUCAUGAAGACUUGCCCUUAAGUUUUCUUCUACGAGUUUUAUAUUUCUGGUUCUCAUAUUUAGGUCUCUGAUCCAUUCGAGUUAAUUUUUUGUAUACAGUAUGAGGUAAGGAUUUGUAGGUGAAUAUUCAGUUGUCCCAGCAGCAUUUGUUACAGAGAUACCCUAUCCCCUCAAAUGGUCCUGAUGCCUUGUGGAUGUCGGUUGAUGGCUGAGCUCUGCGACAGCUCCCACCAGGAUUUUAACAUCGUUGUUGGCAUUUUGUGAAUUUUUUGAGUAGGGCAGAAGGUAGCCCUGGGAAUCUUAAACUGCUGUUUUGAGUUUCAACAGAUCUGCUUUGGAAGACUUCAAAGAUUUACCACAAUAUAAGUCGUAGUAGCUUAAGACCUGAAAUAGAAUAAAACUGUGGUGUUCCAAGACUUCCCUGUUUAUCCGGGGAUGCACUUAAGUUAUAUACUAACCUAAUCAUCACACAGCUCUGGGAAGCACUAGUACCGUUGCUAUCAGCAUCUUACCGCAGGGGAAACUGAGGCUCAGAGGUGUGGAGUAAUUGAUGAAAGGUGCACAGCUGGCAGGUGGCAUAGUGAGGGCUGGUGCCAGUUACUCUCAAUCCAUGGUCUUUCCUCUGUGCUUCGCUGCCUCCCGGGUGUCUGACAUCACGUGGAUUUAAGCCCCACUCUCCCAAUUUUUUUUUUUUUUUUUUUUUUGAGACAUAGUCUGGCACUCUCGCCCAGGCUGGAGUGCAGUGGUGCAGUCUUGGCUCACUGCAGCCUCUGCCUUCCGGGCUCAAGCCAUCCUUCCACCUAAGCCUCUUGAGUAGCUGGGACCUUAGACACACACCACCACACCCGGCUAAUUUUUGUAGAGAUGGGGGUUCACCAUGUUGCCUAGGCUGGUCCUGGAACUCCUGAGCUCAAGUGAUCCACUCACCUCAGCCUCCCAAAGUGCUGGGAUUACAGGUGUGAGCCACCACGCCGGGUUUCUCUCCCAGUUUUUUAAAAAAUAUUUUAACUUUUAUUUUAGUUUCAACGGUACAUGUGCAGGUUUGUUAUAUAAACGUAUUAUUCAGUGGUUUGGUGUACAGUUUAUUCCCUCACCUGGGUAUGUACUGUAGUACCUGACAAUUUUUUUUGUUUGUUUUUCCUGAUCCUCUCCCUUCUCCCACUCUCCACCCUCAAGUAGGCCGCAGUGUCUGUUGUUCUCCUCUUGUGUCCAUGUGUUCUAAUGGUUUAGCUCCCACUUAUAAGUGAGAACAUGUGGUAUUUGGUUUUUCUGUUCCUAUGUUAGUUUUCUAAGGAUAAUGACCUCCAGCUCCAUCCAUGUUCCUGCAAACGACAUGAUCUCAUUUCAUUUUAUGUAUACAUGGUAUCCCAUGGUAUAUAUGUACAUUUUCUUUAUCCAGUCCACCAUUGGUGAGCAUUUAGGUUGAUCUCAUGUCUUUGCUAUUGUGAAUAGUGCUGCGAUGAACACACGCAUGCAUGUGUCUUUAUGGUAGAGCCAUUUACCUUCCUUUGGGUAGGUAAUCCUGGUUCAUUUGGUUUUUUUUUUUUUUUGAGACGGAGUCUCGCUCUGUUGCCCAGGCUGGAGUGCAGUGGUGAGAUCUCAGCUCAUAGCAAGCUCCGCCUCCCAGGUUCACGCCAUUCUCCUGCCUCAGCCUCCUGAGUAGCUGGGACUAUAGGUGCCUGCCACCAUGCCUGGCUAAUUUUUUGUACUUUUAGUAGAGACGGGGUUUCACCAUGUUAGCCAGGAUGGUCUCAAUCUCCUGACCUCGUGAUCUGCCUGCCUCGGCCUCCCAAAGUGCUGGGAUUACAGGCGUGAACCACCACACCCGGUUAACCCCAGUUGUUUAUAAAUUGUUGAAUGGAGAGAGUACCUUUUUUCAGGCACUCAGAGGACUUUAUCUUACUUACUUUUAUGAUAAAAUAAUUAAGAGCCCAAACUAUUAGUCCUAUUUUAUUUUAUUUUAUUUUUUUGACUUUUUACAAAUUAUUACUUUUAACAAAGAAAGCAAAAGUGGAUCUUAUUUCCAUAAAAUAAAGGUUUAUGUUGACAAUUAAAAACUGGACAUGCACACGAUUAGAAAGUUCAAACGACACGAAAAUGUAUACUUCUCCCCAAAGGAAACGACUGUGAACAGUUUCUUGUGACUGUUUUAG